GUCCUUGCCUUAAACUAUGUAUACUUGACGUAAUUGGGCUCAACCCUAAUUGUGUCGUAGCUAACGCGAUAAGUAUACCGCCUGGGGGAGUACGCUCGCAAGGGUGAAACUCAAAAGAAUUGACGGGGACCCGCACAAGCAGUGGAGCAUGUGGUUUAAUUCGAUGCAACGCGAAGAACCUUACCUGGGUUUGAACUGUAGUGGACGUUGCUAGAGAUAGCAACUCCCCGCAAGGGGCUGCUAUAGAGGUGCUGCAUGGCUGUCGU
rnacentral:rRNA from 1 species